CUCAGAUCUAUUAUAUCAGCCCCUGUUUUCAACAAGUUUUCCAGAAGAACUGCACACAGCUACAGUUCGAGUGCACUGUAACCUCUUUGCAUAAAACAUAGGAAGCUCUACUGGUGGAGAAGAGGCAAGCAGCUGAGAGAACACCAUGGGAUUUGGAGCUAGCUUGUAUAUCCUGAUGGAGGCUGAGCCAUCAUGAACUCUACUGUAAGGAGGCAGACAAACAGACCAUUGUUUUCCUGGUGCUGACAGAAGACAGAACUAACCAGAAUGCACGUGCUUCUCAAUUCAAAAGAGGUUCCUCUCAUUUGUCAAACCCAGGUGUUUGAGGAAGACUGCCUGGAGCUAUGUGUGUUAGGAAAGAUCUGGAAGCCUGUCCUACCUAAGCCAUUAGUCUUCUUGCAAACAAACCUCUCUUUCCAUAAGGAAGCAAUCCAUCUACUCCCGCUGAAACCCGGAGAGGCGGAGAAAGAAAGCACUGCGGAGAAUCCCCUUUCUGAUGAAGAUGCUUGCACGGGAGAUAUGGAGAACACCACGUGACGGAGGAGCCGAAGGCCUCCACCAUCAAACAGCAACGCCUUGUCUCUUUACCAUUUUAUGCUUACAUGUAACAACAUACAGACCAUUAAAGUCAGAUGCAUUAUGGGAAGCACUUGUGCAGUAGGAAAAUG
rnacentral:lncRNA from 1 species